AAGUCGUAACAAGGUCUCCGUUGGUGAACCAGCGGAGGGAUCAUUACUGAGUACUACACUCUCUACCCUUUGUGAACUAUUAUACCUGUUGCUUCGGCGGCGCCCGCAAGGGUGCCCGCCGGUCUCAUCAGAAUCUCUGUUUUCGAACCCGACGAUACUUCUGAGUGUUCUUAGCGAACUGUCAAAACUUUUAACAACGGAUCUCUUGGCUCCAGCAUCGAUGAAGAACGCAGCGAAACGCGAUAUGUAAUGUGAAUUGCAGAAUUCAGUGAAUCAUCGAAUCUUCGAACGCACAUGGCGCCUUCCAGUAUCCUGGGAGGCAUGCCUGUCCGAGCGUCGUUUCAACCCUCGAGCCCCUGUGGCCCGGCGUUGGGGAUCUGCCACGGCAGGCCCCUAAAACCAGUGGCGGACCCGAAGGGCCCUCUCCUUUGCGCAGUAGCAUUCGCCUCGCAUCGGGAGUCCUCGGCGUCCUGCCUCUAAACCCCCCACAAGCCCGCUUCGGCGGCACCAAGGUUGACCUCGGAUCAGGUAGGAAUACCCGCUGAACUUAA
rnacentral:rRNA from 1 species